CCUAGGAGCUGACAGGACAACAUGAUAAGCACUGGCCGCUCACUUCUCCAACGCCCCAGGCGCCAUUUGCCUCCGAGAGGACAGAGGAGCAUGGGGGAGAAAGGCUGCUCUGGAGAUUGUAAGAAUGGCUGACCAGCAGGGUCAGUGUGUGGGUGUGGGAAAGCGUAAGCCGAAUAAACCCUUUCCUCCCCAACUUGCUUCUUGGUCAUGAUGUUUGUGCAGGAAUAGAAACCCUGACUAAGACAAAUUGGUACCAGCAGAGUGGGGCAUUCCUGUGACAACCUGACCAUGUUUUGGGGAGGACUGUGGAAGGACUUUGGAACUUUGGGCUUGAAGAUCCAUCCGUUGUUAAGAGCUCUGUCGGAUGUCGUGUAGGAGCUUGGAAGAUAAUGUUGAGAACACUGCAGAAGAUGGAGCUCUGGUGUGUGAAAUUUCAGAGGGAAAAUUAAAGACUCUUUUCAGGGCCAUUGCUAUUUUGGAUUGUGAAGAUUUUGUCGUUCUGGUUAGCUGGGGCUGAAGAAUCAGCUGUGAUUAACAAGAUACCAGAACUACCAAAGCAAAAACUUUGCAUUACUGGGACUAUUGAUGCUAGUUAGCUGGAGCUAAGAAAUUAGCGGUGAUUAAGAAGAGACCAGCAUCAUUGAGGUGACAUCUUCUGGGAAGUGUUUUCUGAAAGCACAAAGAGGCUGUGUUCCAGAGAUGGCCAAGGUUGUACUCCUGCUGCAGCGGGACUUGGUAAUAUGUAAGGGUCACCCAGGUGGUACUAGUUUUGAAGGCAUGAAGGGGUCACACAAAGCAGCUGAGGCUCGGUACUGUGAGAGGCCAUGGAAGGCCAUUGGUGAAGGUGCAGCCUCAGUUGCAAUUGAAGGCCCAGGACUGAAGGGGUCAUGCAGUGUUUUGGAGAUGCCAGUACCAUGAGAUGACCACCAAGAGCAGCAGCAGCAGCAGUGGGGUACAGGCAUCUGGAGCCUAGAGGAUGAUGCGUGUGCUACAAAGGGCAUGGCUGGAUAAGUGACCCAAGCCCUUGGAGGAGCCCAGAAGAUCGUGAGUUGGAUCCCAGACAUUGGACAGUUGGAGAUUGACUUUUGCUUUUGAUUGUGACUGUGCCCUGAUAUUUUCCCUCUUGAAGGAAGAAACUGUUUUAGUGGAGCCCACAGUUAAGAGACUUUUAAUUGUAAAAAGACUUUGGAUUUUAAAAAGAUGGAUAUUUUAAAGAAAUUGAAAUUUUAAGAAUAUGUAAAGGCUGUGGGACUUUUAAAGUUAUUUAGAUCUUGGGGAUGAAUAAGAUUGUAAGGGUUGAGGCUUACUAGUGAUGUUUUUGUGUGUCAAGUUGACAAGGGGUCAAUUGUACUGGCUAGUUUUGUGUCAACUUGGCACAGCUGGAGUUAUCACAGAGAAAGGAGCUUCAGUUGAGGAAAUGCCUCCAUGAGAUCCAACUGGCAUUUUCUCAAUGAGUGAUCAAGGGGGAAAGGCCCCUUGUGGGUGGGACCAUCUCUGGGCUGGUAGUCUUGGGUUUUAUAAGAGAGCAGGCUGAGCAAGCCAGGUGAAGCAAGCCAGUAAAGAACAUCCCUCCAUGGCCUCUGCGUCAGCUCCUGCUUUCUGACCUGCUUGAGUUCCAGUCCUGCAUCCUUUGGUGAUCAACAGCAGUAUGGAAAUGUAAGCCGAAUAAAUCCUUUCCUCCCCAACUUGCUUCUUGGUCAUGAUGUUUGUGCAGGAAUAGAAACCCUGACUAAGACAGAUGCCUUGCCACUCCUUAUUGGUCAUCUCCUGUCAUGACAUCAUAGAAAGAAACGAACCAGAAAACUCCUGGUGGUGUUCUGGCAGCUUCCUUGGACUUGGGCUGAUGGGCAAAGUGAAGUGGAAGUUUCUGGCUAUGUCAGCUGAUAUAGAUUCACAUGGAGUUUUCUUGAAGCAAGACCCGUGGGAGGACACGUGAUGUUUGGAGGAGUAUACAUAGGACUCGAUGGACAGUGGCGGUGAGCUUCAUGGAUCUUGUGUCUUUGUCUUCGUUGAUCUUCACUUCACUGAGGUAGUGCCGCUGCUGCUGAUUCACGUUUGCUAUCCUGACACACAGGACUGGACUGCUGGUGUCAUGCUCGCUUCAGCAGUACAUAUACUAAGAUUGUCAGGACUGCUGGUAUUCUGACAACUGGAGAAUGGAAUCGCCCCAAGGAGCUGCUUCCAAACACCAUUCAGCAGAGCCUCGCAGCCUCCUCCGGGUUGACUGCUGUUGCUGAUUCGUGAAUGGUGUUUGCGAGUGGGUUGAGCUGCUGCCGCUGAUUCGUAAGAACUGAACUGCUGCUAUCCUGACAAUGCAGACUGGAUCUGCUCCAAAGAACAAUAUCUCAACUUCCCCUGUAUCCCAAUAACCUUCCUUUUCCAUUACCUCUGGGAGGUGGUAGGCUAGAAGGGAGGUUAAAGCAUGUACAAAUCCUUAUUAAAGUAGGCCUUGAAAAUCUG